AUUGAACGCUGGCGGCAGGCCUAACACAUGCAAGUCGAGCGGAUGAAGGGAGCUUGCUCCUGGAUUCAGCGGCGGACGGGUGAGUAAUGCCUAGGAAUCUGCCUGGUAGUGGGGGAUAACGUCCGGAAACGGGCGCUAAUACCGCAUACGUCCUCAGGGAGAAAGUGGGGGAUCUUCGGACCUCACGCUAUCAGAUGAGCCUAGGUCGGAUUAGCUAGUUGGUGGGGUAAAGGCCUACCAGGGCGACGAUCCGUAACUGGUCUGAGAGGAUGAUCAGUCACACUGGAACUGAGACACGGUCCAGACUCCUACGGGAGGCAGCAGUGGGGAAUAUUGGACAAUGGGCGAAAGCCUGAUCCAGCCAUGCCGCGUGUGUGAAGAAGGUCUUCGGAUUGUAAAGCACUUUAAGUUGGGAGGAAGGGCAGUAAGUUAAUACCUUGCUGUUUUGACGUUACCAACAGAAUAAGCACCGGCUAACUUCGUG
rnacentral:rRNA from 1 species